GACGAACCGUGCGAACGUUGUUCGGAAUCACUGGGCUUAAAGGGCGCGUAGGCGGGGGAGCAAGUCCGGGGUGAAAUCGUUCGGCUCAACCGAACCACUGCCUCGGAUACUGCUCCCCUCGAGGGGGGUAGGGGCAGCUGGAACUUCCGGUGGAGCGGUGAAAUGCGUUGAUAUCGGAAGGAACGCCGGUGGCGAAAGCGAGCUGCUGGACCUCUUCUGACGCUGAGGCGCGAAAGCCAGGGGAGCAAACGGG
rnacentral:rRNA from 1 species